rnacentral:lncRNA from 1 species
GAUUUAAAAGAGAGGGUGAGUAAUUUAGGGAAAUUACUCAGUGAGUGCCAAUCCAGGCUCCCUUUCCACUCAUUUAUUUUCCACCAACAUGUCAAGAAUAAAUCCAACAAGCGACACACAAGCAUCCUAGCGAUGCACAAACAACUAGCAAGCAAUGAUGUGUCCAACCCGCCUAUCACACAAGGCCACACCUCUCAGUCACACAGCUUCACAAUAUUCAGUCCCUCUGUAACACCCCGGUCCUGGGUUCCAAAGGAAACCAGACUAAACCGGUAGUAUUAUCUAACAUAACCAAUAAUUCCUGAAUAAUCCUUAAAUCUUAUUCCAAAUCAAACCAAAUCUAGUCUUACAAUAGAAAUGAAUAACUUGAAUAAAUCCGAAAAUAAUCAGAAAACAAUAUCUUAAAAGAAAAAUACAAAAAAAACUUCUUAAAGCGAUAAAAAUCUUCCUCCAUCUCUAAAAGCACACCACACUAGAGCUACUCGUCAAGUUCCUCCCAGACAUCAUCACAAUCACAUUCAUCACACUCACCUGAAAGAUGGAUUUAAAAGAGAGGGUGAGUAAUUUAGGGAAAUUACUCAGUGAGUACCAAACCAGGCUCCCUUCCCACUCAUUUAUUUUCCACCAACAUGUCAAGAAUAAAUCCAACAAGCGACACACAAGCAUCCUAGCGAUGCACAAACAACUAGCAAGCAAUGAUGUCUCCAACCCGCCUAUCACACAAGGCCACACCUCCCAGUCACACAGCUUCACAAUAUUCAGUCCCUCUGUAACACCCCGGUCCUGGGUUCCAAAGGAAACCAGACUAAACCAGCUGUAUUAUCUAACAUAACCAAUAAUUCCUGAAUAAUCCUUAAAUCUUAUUCCAAAUCAAACCAAAUUCAGUCUUACAAUAGAAAUGAAUAACUUGAAUAAAUCCGNN